rnacentral:lncRNA from 1 species
UUCUAAUUUAUGUAAUUUCUUUGUUAAUAUUCGCCUCACUAGCCAUAUUGCGUGUUUUUGCCACUUUGUAUGGACAUCCGGUCUUUUUUUGGUGGCAGUGUGUUAUAGCCUCCUUAUGUAGAACAUAGUUCACAUAUUCGUCAGCGAACAUUUUAUAUUGGAGGAAAUUGUUGUUAUGUUUAAUAUUUGAAAGCUGCCUAUUCCUUCUCCCUCCUAACCUGAAUGGCUCACGAUGGGUGUAAACAAAGCUCUCGGUAAGAUACCUAUGAAGAGCAUUU